AUGGCACCGCCCCCACCACUUCCGCUAGGAACCCGGAAGUUCCUACCCGACGCCGGAAGUCCCACGGCCUUGCCUCCUCAGAUUCCUCUCCCACCCCCACGCAGAGGAGAGAACUUGCUUCUGGACCCGGGUGGGUGCCGGCUCGGCUCUCCUUGUCUUCCAGAGCGGUGGCCCGGAAGCACAGUCCUCCCAGACGUCAGCGUCAGAAGCUCGGAUCGCGGCUGCACCGGGAGAGCGCCGAUCUGGGUGCGAGGCAGGUGCGGGGCCAUGAAUGGGACCGCGAACCCGCUGCUGGACCGCGAGGAACAUUGCCUGAGGCUCGGGGAGAGCUUCGAGAAGCGGCCGCGGGCCUCCUUCCACACUAUUCGUUAUGAUUUUAAACCAGCAUCUAUAGACACUUCCUGUGAAGGAGAGCUUCAAGUUGGCAAAGGAGAUGAAGUCACAAUUACACUGCCACAUAUCCCUGGAUCCACACCACCCAUGACUGUGUUCAAGGGGAACAAACGGCCUUACCAGAAAGACUGUGUGCUUAUUAUUAAUCAUGACACUGGUGAAUAUGUGCUGGAAAAACUCAGUAGCAGCAUUCAGGUGAAGAAAACAAGAGCUGAGGGCAGCAGUAAAAUCCAGGCCAGAAUGGAACAGCAGCCCACUCGUCCUCCACAGACGUCACAGCCACCACCACCUCCACCACCUAUGCCAUUCAGAGCUCCAACGAAGCCUCCAGUUGGACCCAAAACUUCUCCCUUGAAAGAUAACCCCUCACCUGAACCUCAGUUGGAUGACAUCAAAAGAGAGCUGAGGGCUGAAGUUGACAUUAUUGAACAAAUGAGCAGCAGCAGUGGGAGCAGCUCUUCAGACUCUGAGAGCUCUUCGGGAAGUGAUGACGACAGCUCCAGCAGUGGAGGCGAGGACAAUGGCCCAGCCUCUCCUCCGCAGCCUUCACACCAGCAGCCCUACAACAGUAGGCCUGCCGUUGCCAAUGGAACCAGCCGGCCACAAGGAAGCAACCAGCUCAUGAACACCCUCAGAAAUGACUUGCAGUUGAGUGAGUCUGGCAGUGACAGUGAUGACUAGUGCUGGAUCUUUCGAAACCUACUUUUUGGUGCACAAACAUGCCGCAAGACUGAGCUACUUUGGCGUGGAGUCCAUUGCAAGAGGAAAAUGUUAUGGAUCAGUGACUGUAGUAGGAGUUUGAGGCUCUGGAACUCUCACAUAUUCAAGUCUUUAACUUAGUGGUGAUGGGUGAUUUUCUCGUGUCAUUUUUGAACAAUCUCAUCUUUCAAAGUUUAAGUAGACCUGUAGAAGAGCUAACAGAAUUAUAUUUCUAUUUAGUUAACAUUGUUAAUGAAAAACAGAUAAAUGUGCCCUGGUCUAAGUUACUCAAAGGCCAUAUCUUCACCAGGCCAGAGAUUCAGUUUUAAACCUCAGCAGCCAUCAGUUUGGCCAAGUGGUUGGUACCAGUGAAAUGAAGUCUUUGAUGGGUAGGAGAGAGAGGGAAAACCUCAAACUACAUCAUAGAAAUAUGUUAAAACCACUUUAAAUUGUUGACACAAAGUGGUAAGGAAGUUUUGUCUGACUCAGCCUGACAAGCCUGGAUAGAAAUGGACCUCAGAAUACAGAAUGGAGUCCUUGAGUGUCAGCUGGUGAGGACCAUGGAGUCCUGCCAGCUCAACCUGUCAUUUACAGACUAAGAAAGGGAAGUACACACCUGGCUUGUGGCCAGUCUCCUGCCCCCUCUCUGGGCUUUCCUCACUGUUCUCUCCCUUGAAUCUCAUUUGUAGGAAUCAAGAGAUUCUUAUACAUGGGACUUUUAGAUGUACAUUGGCACUUGGAUUAGAUUCCAAAAGACAAAAGUGUUGGGUGCUUCUAGCUUGAAUUCAGUCCCUAAAUACAUGAGGCUGGGUGAGCAGAUGAAACCGGUAGCCACUGUGCUGAUGCAUGUGACUCCAUUCAGUUGGGGCUUUUGGUUCCAUGUGGAUCCAUACUAAGUAUUCUUCAGUCAGUGGAUUUUAGCAGGGUGAGGUAGGAGUGGAAGAGAGGUGUGAAGAAACCUCUCCGAACAAAUGAACCAGCAGUAAGUUUCUAAAAAUCAGAAUCUAGAUAGAAGUUCUGCAAUAUGAAAUGAGCACAUUCUUUGAUAAGGCAUAUCUAUUCAUGCUUUUGUACCACUGUUUUGUACCUGACUCCCUGACCGAUUUGUAUUUUUUAUAUACAACUAGAAGAAAGUCACAAGAUUGCCUUCUACAGUGUGCCAUUUCCAAAUGGAUCUGUUGUUGGAGGAAACUGGUUGCUAGUCAAUGUUCUAUAUUUAAUGAAUGUGUGAUAAAUCAUCCUGUAAUCAGUAUGGAGUAACCUGUUUUUGUAGUUUGGAUGAAUAUGUCCUGAGAAAUUUCCAUCCACUUUGGUUCAGCGGACAUCAAGAUAGUAAUAAUAAUUUUUCCUCCACAGGUCCCUCCACUCAUAUGGCCUCUCCCUCCCCAGCUAGUGGAGGGGAAGCAGUCUGGACUUAGAAAGGAAAUAGGUGGUCUGUCAUAGGGGCUUUCAUUAGAGUUAAACUUCAUAGAGUCAACUGUUUCAUCAUCAUAGUGAGCCCAGAGAGCCACUGCCCAGCAGCAUGCUCACACCACCUACCCUAGUGUAGGUAAUAGGUCUACGCUAGGACCCCGUGCUGGGCUCUCAGCCCAUCAUGAGAUUUUGGUGGAUUUAAUGGCAGUUUACCAGAUUCCUUCUGCCUGGAAUGCUAUGCCACACACACCUCUGACUCCUAGCUGACAUUUGGCUAGAAGUGAUCCUGACCUCCUGCUUCCAUUCUCCACUUCUGCUUCAGCAGUGCUCACAUUUACCUGUGGUCUUGGCUCCUCUGCUAGACUGUAUAAACUUCUAGGUAGGCAGUGGCCAUAUUCCUUUUUAAUUCGCUGUAGUGUCUCUAAUGGGUGCUCAAUAUAUUUGGAUUGAAUUAAAUUACAUGUUAAGUCUAGAAAUCCUCUGCUACUUAAUUCUGCAAUGUGCUUGUUCCCUCAGAUGGUAAUAGGAGUUAGACUUGAACCGUCUCAGUGGGGAAGUGGUGGUGUCCAUCACUGAAGGGAGUUUUAUCUUCAGUUAACUAUUGCCACUGUAAUGUUCUGUAACAAACCAUCCCAAAACUCAAUGACUAAUAAGCAUUUAUUUUGCUCACAAGUCUGAGUUGGCUUUAGACUGGCCUUAGCUGGACAGUUCUGGUCUUGAUUGGCUCCCUCAUAGGCCUGGCAGUUGACUGAGGUUCAGCUGAUCUAGGAUGGCUUUGGCCAGCAGAGUGGGGGCAACAGCUCUGCUCCAUGUCAUCUCCACCAGCCUAGCCUGGGCAUGUUGUCAUGGCAAAGGCAGAGAGUUGUAAGAGUAAGAGAGGAACCAAAAUACUUUUGUCACAAUUGCUAAGACAUCAUUGGCCAAACCAAGUUAGAGAGCUAAGUUCAGAAUGAAGGGGUGGGGAAAUCCAUUCCCCAAAAUUGAUGGGAGGAGUUGAAAAAGAGAUUGGAAAGGGUGUAGAUACAGGGAGGUGGGAAGAAUUGCGGCUAUUAAUGCCAUCUAUUACAUUCACAUGCCCUGUGACUGCCAUGUUUGAGACCACUGGGCCACAUGAUCUCUAAGUCCCCUCCCAAUUCUGGCAUUGUUCCUGGCCAGAUAAACGAAAGUUCCAGUAAGAGUUAAGAUAUUUCUAUUCAUGAUUCAUGCAGAGGGCACCAAAAGCCACCCAAUGGCUUCUCUUGGCUUGGCCCUCCCUCCUUCAUUCACUGUGUAUAGUUUGCUCCCCUCCUGCCAUUUCUUACCAAGAGCACUAUUCCAGUUACCUGUUGCUAAGUAACAAGCUACUUCCCAGAACUUGGUGGUUUAAAACAAUCACUAUUUUACGUCAUGGAAUUUGUUGGUUACAAAUUGGGACAGAGCUUGGCUAGGCAGGUCAGCUUCUUGUGGCUUUAACUGUGGUACUUAGCUGGCAGAUAGGCCGGACUGCAGGGUCCAAACUAGCUUCACUCACAUGCCUGGCAUCCUGGUGGAGGUGGCUGGAAGCAGGCUCCUGGAACCUCUGGGCCCAUGGAUUGUAAUGCAAAAGCAUAUGGACUGGCAUAGCCUUCUUUGGUGACCAACUGCAUCUCUGAGACCCUGUCUUAUUCUAAGCCACCCCAUGUGACAGCCUCAGGAGCAGCUAAGGGAAUCCGUUCCUGCUCCUAGGGUGAGGAAAUUGAGACCAUGAGAAGUGAUGAACCCAGUCUGAAUCCAGAUGUGACUUCUGCCAUGAUUGUGAGGCCUCCCCAGCCACGUGGAACUAAACCCCAGUGUGAUGGUGGAAGCAGCAUGAAAACAACAUCUCCCCAGGCCUCGCAGUAGAGGCGAAGGGAACAGGGCUGCCCAUGUGCCUGCCUCUAAAGACGCCACCCUCGGGUUGAUGUCACCUGUGGGAGACCGGGUCCACCUACAGACACCAGGUGAUGGUCCACCAGGCCCCAAGCUCCAGCCUGCUGAGUCCCCAAGACACGGGCUCAUUAAAUGGCUUCGUACAAAAACCCAA